GAACAGAUCCUGCUCGCGAACUUUGAUCGUCUUCGAAAUCAGAACUGAAGUUUAUCUCCUGUGGUUUCAAUAUUUCCAUUGUUUUUUUUUUUCCCCUUUUUCUUGUCUCGGAAGUCAAAAUCACUUGAAGAAUAUUCUCCAAUUCCGCAUCAAUGCUGAGCGAUAAUCAUAGCUUGUUGAAAACGAUUUGGUGUGGUGGACGUCUGUCAUAUGAUGUGAAAUUUUCUCACCGAGCUUUGAUGAACAAUGGCGGAUUAUGUCGGGACGAGAUGGAAUUCAGAUUUUCUGUUGCCAAUGGAGUUGAUGAAUAUGUUAAUCGAAAUCGAGAAAGUUGGGGAACAAUCGUGUUGCUGGUGCUGCAAUAUCGUGUCCCAUAUCUGGUGGAUGUUUCCCGGCAUCUCGUCGUCAAAUAGCCAAUUCUUCGACAAUCGGAGUUGAUAAGCGAACAGCAUUAUAGUUUGCGAUUGAGAAACAGCAACUGUGAGAUGAGAUGACUGAAAUGUUGGGCUUAUAUUCAGUUGACAUAGGUUCAUUCCCUGGAAAUUAGUUGAAGGGUCAGCAAUCAGAGGACAUAAAAAGGCAGUGAUCUUAAACGACAUUUCAUUAAAUUUAGUCUAAAGAGUCUGCAGAAGAAGCAUAAAGCCACGCUGUUCUCUAAUUGUUUGACAUUAUUUUGCUGCCUUUCUUGCACACAGGUAAGGAAGCUGGAUUCAACUUUUAAUGACCUCUUCCCGUUUGAGUUUGACAGGCGGUUCUUUGAGAAAUUCAGGACCUUCCUCACGUAUGGCUGUGUGGCUUGCAUGUGCAAAGACGUUAUCGGUGUUUUUGCC